CCGUACCAUUUUCUUCCCUUCAUUUGCUUCCACCUCAUACUGCUACAUACGCUUAAUUUUAUCUCAUCCAAGAGAGAGACACGCAAAGAACAAUUGAAGACUUAACAGGGUGGUCUCAUUAGCACAUCAAACUAUGGUCUUUUGAUAGGUAUUUGUAAUGCGAAAUGGAGAAAUUGUAUGAAUUUGUGAAAAUGAUGACUAUGGAAGUAAUUCAGAAGAGAAGCAGCAGAAUGAAGAAAAAAGAAAAACAGCAGCAGAUGAAAUACGGGCAAACUGUAGUAAAAAGUAGAAAAUUUUGAAAAAAUUUAAUAUGGAUGAGAGACUGGUAAAACAAAAAUUGAGUGCAGCACCAUUAAUUUUUUUGACACGUGAUAUGUGGAUCCAUUAUCUAUUUAAAAGAUAGAAUAAACGGAAAAGGGCCAAAAAUACCUUUUAAUUAUAAGAAAUGGUUCAACAAUAUACUUCAUUCAUUUAUUGGGCUAAAAAUAUUCUUCCAUCUACCUUUUUGGCAACCAACAAUUCCUUCUUUAUUUUAUUUUUUUAAAAAAAAUUAUUAAGUGUCAUUUUCUUAUUGGGUGAAAUGAAAAUCGCACUCCACCAAGUUGAUGACAUGGCAAACAAAAAACAACUAAAAACUACAUGUCAGCAAAUAAAAUAAAAUCUUAAUUAAGAAUUAUAGGGUACGUGGAUUAAAGAAAGGAAAAAAAAUCAGAAAUAGAGAGUGCGCCAUAAAAUUUACUAUCAAUUUCAAAUUUAAAUUUUGUUUAUGUUGGAGUUUUUAGAGGUGGCAUUUGAUUAUGUUGGACUGAAUUGGUCGGAUUAUGUGGUGAUCGAUAUGAGGUUUUUUAGGCCUGCAGAAGUGGAUAAUUUGAAGAGAGAUUCNNNNNNNNNNNNNNNNNNNNNNNNNNNNNNNCGCGCUCCCACCCCCUAACCCUCUACCCUAAUCCGUGUCCUCCACAACUUUCUAUUAAGGGUCAUGUCCUCCGUAAGCUGUAAGUGCUCCAUAUCAUGCCUAAUCACCUCGCUAUAAUAUUUCUUAGGCCUACCCCUACCCCGCCUAAAACCCAGUGUUUCACACCUCCGCACUGGAGCAUCAGAGCCCCUCCUCAUCACGUGCUUGAACUAAUGUAAUGCCAUCUCAAUGCUAAAUAUUGUCCUAGAUCCAAUGCCAUCUCAAAAAUUAAGAAUCCUAAAGAUUCUGCCAACGGGAGAGAUUUGUUGGAUAUUAGAAAGGUGUUUCAACAUAAUAUUUACUGAAAGCUUGCACUUUUCGGGUGGAAUCAAUGGUUGAGCAUUGGUCCUUUGCACUCAUUGCUUGUUCAAACUCGCAAACCUAGCAACAUUUUGGCCAAGUAGUUUUUCCAGCCCAACAUCUGGAAUGAGGAAGCUCUUGAAACAAUCAUACCUAGACAGAUAGUUGAUGAGAUCAUUGCCGCCAAGAAUGAAGAAGAUCGCAGGGACGUGCCUAUGUGGAAGCUUGAAUACAGCAGAAACUUCUAAUGUGCAUCAACAUUUCAAGCUCUUGGACAAAAGAGACCUUCUCUUCCUCAACUAGAUCUUGUUUGGAAUAAAAUAAUUCCUUUUAAAAUUUCUUUUCUAAUGUGGAGACUUCUCAAGAAGAAGCUCCCACUUGGAAACUCUUUAAGAAAAUUUGGUAUCACCUCUAAUAUGGAUUGUGUUUGUUGCAGGGCUUCCAUCCAAGAAUCUUAUAACCACUUUUUUGCAGCUGGAGAAAUGGCAAGAAGAACCUGGGAAUGGGUCUCAAGACCACUUGGAAGUUGGGAUUGACUCAAGCAAUCACAAUAUCAUCCAAAUUCUAGACAACUGGGGGAUAGCUAAUACAGCAAUGCAGUUCACAACUUGAUAACCACCAUUACGCCAAAUAUGGUGUGUUGGGUAUUGUGGAAAUCAAGGUGCUCAAAGAAAUUUAGUAACACCAUUUCUGGGGCAUGGAUUUACAAUCAGAUUUUGUUUCAAACCAAAAUCGCCAUUGCUAAAAUAUUUGGUAAAAUGGAGGAUCAAUGGGGAUGGAAAAGAGUAUGCAACAUCGCCAUGUUACAAGCCAACUGACCAGCUGUGUGGUCAAAUAUGGUCAAAUGGAAUAGACAUGGUGAGGAUCUGAUUUUAAACACUGAUGGAAGCUACAAGAUUAACUUAGGGAGAGAUGGAGCGAGGAAUUGUUAGGGGAGGGAAGAAAUGGGAAUAUAGUAAUGGGAUUUUCUAAUCUAAUCCUAUUCAUUUCUUAAUUAACAAUUUUAGUGAGGCAAGUGCAGCCCACUUUGGGGUCCCUUGGUGCUGUGAUCAAGGCUAUGCUAAUUUCAUAAUGGAAUUAGACUCAAUGCUUAUAGCCAUAUGAUUAAAGGAACAUAUAGAAUUCCUUGGAAUCUGAACCCCAUAAUAGAAGACAUUCAACAAAGAGUACAAGAAAGAGGUAAACAUGUUUCCCAUUGCUACAAGGAAGGAAACUCAGUAGCAGACGUGCUAGCAAAAUAUGCCACUUCCCAUAAUCAAGAAGUUGUUUUUAAAAAUGAAGAUCAGCUACCAAAGGAAGUAAAAGGGGCUUACAUAAUGGAAAAGAUGGACAUGCCAACUUUCAGAAUAAAGGUCACCAAACACUCAAGUUGGCAUUUUGACCCACCUUGAAUAGGUUACAUGCUUGAUUCAGCUUGUUAAAAAACUCUGUUGCAUGCAGACUAAAAAGUAUUAAGCUUUUUUUAGCAAGAUCUCUUUAAAAAGGCUAGGUAGUUUAGAUCCUAGAAAUAGAAUCUAAAUUCUCUAUUAGAUUGUAGAAGUAUUUUGUGGUUGCUACAAAUAGAGGCAAGGCACUCCACCCUCCUCUUUGUUGUACAUUUUUGGAUAUUAAAUAAACGAGGUAGGGGUCUACGCCUAGCCCCCACCACUACAGGGAAUACCUGUGUGGAUGGCUUAUUAAAAAAAAAGUUAUCACAUUGAAAAACUAUUUUACAAAUUUCACAAUGGCAUGGCCAAACGUCCACUAACACAACUUAUACAGUAUUAUUCUUAUGCACUCUAACAAAUGACUCAAAUAGAGUUUGAAGAGGGAACAUGUACACCAUUUAGAAUAAGACAAGCAAAGAUUGAAGAAACCCAUUAAGUGCAUUUGGAUUUAAUGAAAUUAAGCCAAUUUACAAGUCAAUAUGAAAAGAAACCUGCUACCUUAUGUGAUUUCGUCCACUUUAUUCUAGCCUUGGUGGAUAGAUUUACCUGAUAUUGCUUGUGGGAGGUAUCAGGUAUCUUAUGGAGCCCAGACACCACGGUUUAAAAAAAAUGCUAUAUUUGUUUGGCUCAGAUUAAGAUACAACAAUUCACAGCAUACGCAGGUGUAUGAAUUGCAUACACGUAAGCAGAAAAUUAGACAAACAACAUAUUUUGAAACCCAAAUAGGAUUAUAAGGUUAAUAAAGAAAAAGAUAAGAGGUAAUAGAAUGGAGAAAGAGAAUUGAGGAAGGGGUUUAAGCUUACCAGUGACAACAACUCUUCGAAGAGGGCGGGCAGGAGGAGGGUCGAAUGAGCUGAAACGACGCAAGUGAAAUGGAGCAGGAAUUAAUCCGUACCAUUUUCUUCCCUUCAUUUGCUUCCACCUCAUACUGCUACAUACGCUUAAUUUUAUCUCAUCCAAGAGAGAGACACGCAAAGAACAAUUGAAGACUUAACAGGGUGGUCUCAUUAGCACAUCAAACUAUGGUCUUUUGAUAGGUAUUUGUAAUGCGAAAUGGAGAAAUUGUAUGAAUUUGUGAAAAUGAUGACUAUGGAAGUAAUUCAGAAGAGAAGCAGCAGAAUGAAGAAAAAAGAAAAACAGCAGCAGAUGAAAUACGGGCAAACUGUAGUAAAAAGUAGAAAAUUUUGAAAAAAUUUAAUAUGGAUGAGAGACUGGUAAAACAAAAAUUGAGUGCAGCACCAUUAAUUUUUUUGACACGUGAUAUGUGGAUCCAUUAUCUAUUUAA
rnacentral:lncRNA from 1 species